GACCAGGAGCAGAGUCUGGUAAUGGUGAAUUAACAGGUGAACUACCACCGUGAACAAACAGGGCUGGAAUCUGAAAUCAAAAGUGCAACCCAGCGGAUUAACGAGCUGAACUUUGAGGAAGACUAGGACGAUAUACUGCCUGAAAGAUCUGCCGGAAUAUGCCUGCAAAUACUGUGCUCCACGACCGAGCUCAGUGGUU